AGUGGCGAACGGGUGAGUAAUGCAUCGGAACGUACCGUGUAGUGGGGGAUAACGUAGCGAAAGUUACGCUAAUACCGCAUACGCCCUGAGGGGGAAAGUGGGGGACCGCAAGGCCUCACGCUAUAUGAGCGGCCGAUGUCGGAUUAGCUAGUUGGUAGGGUAAAGGCCUACCAAGGCGACGAUCCGUAGCGGGUCUGAGAGGAUGAUCCGCCACACUGGGACUGAGACACGGCCCACACUCCUACGGGAGGCAGCAGUGGGGAAUUUUGGACAAUGGGCGCAAGCCUGAUCCAGCCAUGCCGCGUGAGUGAAGAAGGCCUUCGGGUUGUAAAGCUCUUUCAGACGGAAAGAAAUCUCUCGGGAUAACACCCUGGGAGGAUGACGGUACCGUAAGAAUAAGCACCGGCUAACUACGUGCCAGCAGCCGCGGUAAUACGUAGGGUGCGAGCGUUAAUCGGAAUUACUGGGCGUAAAGCGUGCGCAGGCGGUUAUGUAAGACAGAUGUGAAAUCCCCGGGCUCAACCUGGGAACUGCAUUAGUGACUGCAUAGCUGGAGUACGGCAGAGGGGGAUGGAAUUCCGCGUGUAGCAGUGAAAUGCGUAGAUAUGCGGAGGAACACCGAUGGCGAAGGCACUCCCCUGGGUCUGUACUGACGCUCAUGCACGAAAGCGUGG
rnacentral:rRNA from 1 species